rnacentral:lncRNA from 10 species
AAAAUAAUACAUGAAACAUCAUCUACUCUUUCCAUAAUAAACAUCAAGAAAUAAAAUAGCGUUCAAUAAGAAAAGACUUAAGACAUCGCCUGUCAGACAGAUGCCAGUUUGCGAGUGGAAUGGCUAAAGAGAAAUCUGCUGCACAUUUGAAGAGAGAACCUAGAGUGCAUAUCCCUACCAUGAGGAGAAAACACAGCUUAGUCUUUAUACUUUGUCAUUUAUUUAUUCAACAG